GAUGUAUACAAAAUAAAUGCAAACAAUAACAAUAGUUUUAUUUUAGUAAUCCGAUG
rnacentral:sRNA from 16 species